rnacentral:tRNA from 1 species
GGGUCGUUAGCUCAGUCUGGCAGAGCAGGGGCCUUUUAAGCCCACGGUCGCAGGUUCGAAUCCUGCACGACUCACCA